rnacentral:lncRNA from 1 species
GGGGCUGAGGAAGAAAUAAGUAGCUUCCCAAGUCUCUCUGUCUUUUACUAUAAUUCUCUUGGAGAAUAUGGCUUUGCAUGUCAAAUUUUUGUUCUGAUAUGCUUACCUUCUAGUGGUAUGUGCUGGCACGUUGUCCUGUAUGCAAUAGAGGCUUGAAGGAGACAGUUCAUCCCAAUGCUCUCAGAGACUGCAGCCACUCUCUUCUUCGGAAGCCAAGGUCACACUAGGCACCAUCUGGUCUCUGAUAUGGUUUAAAAUAACAAUCUAGCCAGGAUACAACCAGCAGAAGGACUU